UAUUCAAACCCAAAAAAAAAAAAAUCAACUAUAUAUGCAUGCUUCGUAAACUUAUACCUUAGACAGUAGCAAGGGCCAACCAUGGAAGAAAAUCCGUGACGAGAAUUGGGAGGACGUCAUCCAUUGAGAAUGAACCGAGAACACUCGACUUCAGUCAAAUUCAUCAUGCGAGAGAAGCUGCACUUUACGUGGUAAACACUAGGAGCGUUGAAGACGCAUUGAGUAUUUUCACAGCGGGACUGGAAUCGGUUGCCGACUGUGCAACACUGUCGGUGGACUCGACAGAAGACGAUGAGGAGGGGGGAGAUGGUUGUUUCGAGAGACGACAGCGGUGGUCGGGAAGAGAUGUGGUGACGGCCCCAUUUUAACUAGCUGGGAACAGCAUUACUGCAUGAUAUAGGCAUCGAAGGAUUUACGAGCCGUGUAUAUAUGUAUAUAUGAACUUGAUCAGUAGUUGAUGUACACAAUAAAUGGGCAUGUCUCUAAUGUUUCAUACAGCUUCUUAAUUUUCUUCUGUUUUUUCUUGGGAAGUACAGCCUUUUAUUUAUUCGAUAGAGUCUCUUCAAUGUCUGCGUAUGUAUACUGGGUAUUUGUCAUACGCA